rnacentral:tRNA from 1 species
UUUAUAGUUUUAUAACAUCUACUUUGGAUGUAGAAAAAAUCUGAUUUUUUUUAAAAU